ACGAACGCUGGCGGCGUGCUUAACCCAUGCAAGUCGCACGGAAAGGCCCUGCUUUUGUGGGGUGCUCGAGUGGCGAACGGGUGAGUAACACAUGAGUAACCUGCCCUUGACUUUGGGAUAACUUCAGGAAACUGGGGCUAAUACCGGAUAGGAGCUCCUGCUGCAUGGUGGGGGUUGGAAAGUUUCGGCGGUUGGGGAUGGACUCGCGGCUUAUCAGCUUGUUGGUGGGGUAGUGGCUUACCAAGGCUUUGACGGGUAGCCGGCCUGAGAGGGUGACCGGCCACAUUGGGACUGAGAUACGGCCCAGACUCCUACGGGAGGCAGCAGUGGGGAAUAUUGCACAAUGGGCGGAAGCCUGAUGCAGCAACGCCGCGUGCGGGAUGACGGCCUUCGGGUUGUAAACCGCUUUCGCCUGUGACGAAGCGUGAGUGACGGUAAUGGGUAAAGAAGCACCGGCUAACUACGUG
rnacentral:rRNA from 1 species